GGUUAAGCGACUAAGCGUACACGGUGGAUGCCCUGGCAGUCAGAGGCGAUGAAGGACGUGCUAAUCUGCGAUAAGCGUCGGUAAGGUGAUAUGAACCGUUAUAACCGGCGAUUUCCGAAUGGGGAAACCCAGUGUGUUUCGACACACUAUCAUUAACUGAAUCCAUAGGUUAAUGAGGCGAACCGGGGGAACUGAAACAUCUAAGUACCCCGAGGAAAAGAAAUCAACCGAGAUUCCCCCAGUAGCGGCGAGCGAACGGGGAGCAGCCCAGAGCCUGAAUCAGUGUGUGUGUUAGUGGAAGCGUCUGGAAAGGCGCGCGAUACAGGGUGACAGCCCCGUACACAAAAAUGCACAUACUGUGAGCUCGAUGAGUAGGGCGGGACACGUGGUAUCCUGUCUGAAUAUGGGGGGACCAUCCUCCAAGGCUAAAUACUCCUGACUGACCGAUAGUGAACCAGUACCGUGAGGGAAAGGCGAAAAGAACCCCGGCGAGGGGAGUGAAAAAGAACCUGAAACCGUGUACGUACAAGCAGUGGGAGCACGCUUAGGCGUGUGACUGCGUACCUUUUGUAUAAUGGGUCAGCGACUUAUAUUCUGUAGCAAGGUUAACCGAAUAGGGGAGCCGAAGGGAAACCGAGUCUUAACUGGGCGUUAAGUUGCAGGGUAUAGACCCGAAACCCGGUGAUCUAGCCAUGGGCAGGUUGAAGGUUGGGUAACACUAACUGGAGGACCGAACCGACUAAUGUUGAAAAAUUAGCGGAUGACUUGUGGCUGGGGGUGAAAGGCCAAUCAAACCGGGAGAUAGCUGGUUCUCCCCGAAAGCUAUUUAGGUAGCGCCUCGUGAAUUCAUCUCCGGGGGUAGAGCACUGUUUCGGCAAGGGGGUCAUCCCGACUUACCAACCCGAUGCAAACUGCGAAUACCGGAGAAUGUUAUCACGGGAGACACACGGCGGGUGCUAACGUCCGUCGUGAAGAGGGAAACAACCCAGACCGCCAGCUAAGGUCCCAAAGUCAUGGUUAAGUGGGAAACGAUGUGGGAAGGCCCAGACAGCCAGGAUGUUGGCUUAGAAGCAGCCAUCAUUUAAAGAAAGCGUAAUAGCUCACUGGUCGAGUCGGCCUGCGCGGAAGAUGUAACGGGGCUAAACCAUGCACCGAAGCUGCGGCAGCGACGCUUAUGCGUUGUUGGGUAGGGGAGCGUUCUGUAAGCCUGCGAAGGUGUGCUGUGAGGCAUGCUGGAGGUAUCAGAAGUGCGAAUGCUGACAUAAGUAACGAUAAAGCGGGUGAAAAGCCCGCUCGCCGGAAGACCAAGGGUUCCUGUCCAACGUUAAUCGGGGCAGGGUGAGUCGACCCCUAAGGCGAGGCCGAAAGGCGUAGUCGAUGGGAAACAGGUUAAUAUUCCUGUACUUGGUGUUACUGCGAAGGGGGGACGGAGAAGGCUAUGUUGGCCGGGCGACGGUUGUCCCGGUUUAAGCGUGUAGGCUGGUUUUCCAGGCAAAUCCGGAAAAUCAAGGCUGAGGCGUGAUGACGAGGCACUACGGUGCUGAAGCAACAAAUGCCCUGCUUCCAGGAAAAGCCUCUAAGCAUCAGGUAACAUCAAAUCGUACCCCAAACCGACACAGGUGGUCAGGUAGAGAAUACCAAGGCGCUUGAGAGAACUCGGGUGAAGGAACUAGGCAAAAUGGUGCCGUAACUUCGGGAGAAGGCACGCUGAUAUGUAGGUGAAGUCCCUCGCGGAUGGAGCUGAAAUCAGUCGAAGAUACCAGCUGGCUGCAACUGUUUAUUAAAAACACAGCACUGUGCAAACACGAAAGUGGACGUAUACGGUGUGACGCCUGCCCGGUGCCGGAAGGUUAAUUGAUGGGGUUAGCGCAAGCGAAGCUCUUGAUUGAAGCCCCGGUAAACGGCGGCCGUAACUAUAACGGUCCUAAGGUAGCGAAAUUCCUUGUCGGGUAAGUUCCGACCUGCACGAAUGGCGUAAUGAUGGCCAGGCUGUCUCCACCCGAGACUCAGUGAAAUUGAACUCGCUGUGAAGAUGCAGUGUACCCGCGGCAAGACGGAAAGACCCCGUGAACCUUUACUAUAGCUUGACACUGAACAUUGAGCCUUGAUGUGUAGGAUAGGUGGGAGGCUUUGAAGUGUGGACGCCAGUCUGCAUGGAGCCGACCUUGAAAUACCACCCUUUAAUGUUUGAUGUUCUAACGUGGACCCGUAAUCCGGGUUGCGGACAGUGUCUGGUGGGUAGUUUGACUGGGGCGGUCUCCUCCUAAAGAGUAACGGAGGAGCACGAAGGUUGGCUAAUCCUGGUCGGACAUCAGGAGGUUAGUGCAAUGGCAUAAGCCAGCUUGACUGCGAGCGUGACGGCGCGAGCAGGUGCGAAAGCAGGUCAUAGUGAUCCGGUGGUUCUGAAUGGAAGGGCCAUCGCUCAACGGAUAAAAGGUACUCCGGGGAUAACAGGCUGAUACCGCCCAAGAGUUCAUAUCGACGGCGGUGUUUGGCACCUCGAUGUCGGCUCAUCACAUCCUGGGGCUGAAGUAGGUCCCAAGGGUAUGGCUGUUCGCCAUUUAAAGUGGUACGCGAGCUGGGUUUAGAACGUCGUGAGACAGUUCGGUCCCUAUCUGCCGUGGGCGCUGGAGAAUUGAGGGGGGCUGCUCCUAGUACGAGAGGACCGGAGUGGACGCAUCACUGGUGUUCGGGUUGUCAUGCCAAUGGCACUGCCCGGUAGCUAAAUGCGGAAGAGAUAAGUGCUGAAAGCAUCUAAGCACGAAACUUGCCCCGAGAUGAGUUCUCCCUGACUCCUUGAGAGUCCUGAAGGAACGUUGAAGACGACGACGUUGAUAGGCCGGGUGUGUAAGCGCAGCGAUGCGUUGAGCUAACCGGUACUAAUGAACCGUGAGGCUUAACCUU
rnacentral:rRNA from 1 species